UACGGGGGGAGCAAGCGUUGUUCGGAUUUACUGGGCGUAAAGGGCGCGUAGGCGGCCACCGCAAGUCAGUUGUGAAAUCUCUGGGCUUAACCCAGAAAGGUCAACUGAUACUGCGGGGCUAGAGUGCAGAAGGGGCAACUGGAAUUCUCGGUGUAGCGGUGAAAUGCGUAGAUAUCUGGAGGAACACCGGUGGCGAAGGCGGCAUCCUGGACCAACACUGACGCUGAGUGAGCGAAAGCCAGGGGAGCAAACGGG
rnacentral:rRNA from 1 species